rnacentral:rRNA from 1 species
ACUUUCAACAACGGAUCUCUUGGCUCUCGCAUCGAUGAAGAACGUAGCGAAGUGCGAUAUGUAGUGUGAAUUGCAGAAUUCCGUGAAUCAUCGAAUUUUUGAACGCAAAUUGCACUCUCUUCGGAGAGUAUGCCUGUUUGAGGGUCAGC